CCUACGGGUGGCAGCAGUGAGGAAUAUUGGUCAAUGGCCGGAAGGCUGAACCAGCCAAGCCGCGUGAAGGACGAAGGUGCCAAGCAUUGUAAACUUCUUUUGUCAAGGGACAAAAUCAGGCUCGAGAGCCUGACCGCGGGUACUUGAAGAAAAAGCAUCGGCUAACUCCGUGCCAGCAGCCGCGGUAAUACGGAGGAUGCGAGCGUUAUACGGAUUUAUGGGGUUAAAAGGGUGCGGAGGCGGUUUGUUAAGUCAGCGGUAAAAGCCCGGGGCUAAACCCCGGCGAGCCGUGGAAACUGGCUGUCUUGAGAUGUCGAGAGGUAUGCGGAAUGCGCAGUGUAGCGGUGAAAUGCUUAGAUAUUGCGCAGAACUCCGAUUGCGAAGGCAGCAUACCGGCGGCGAUCUGACGCUGAGGCACGAAAGCGUGGGUAUCGAACAGGAUUAGAUACCCUAGUAGUC
rnacentral:rRNA from 1 species